AUUGAACGCUGGCGGCAGGCCUAACACAUGCAAGUCGAGCGGAUGAAGGGAGCUUGCUCCUGGAUUCAGCGGCGGACGGGUGAGUAAUGCCUAGGAAUCUGCCUGGUAGUGGGGGAUAACGUCCGGAAACGGGCGCUAAUACCGCAUACGUCCUGAGGGAGAAAGUGGGGGAUCUUCGGACCUCACGCUAUCAGAUGAGCCUAGGUCGGAUUAGCUAGUUGGUGGGGUAAAGGCCUACCAAGGCGACGAUCCGUAACUGGUCUGAGAGGAUGAUCAGUCACACUGGAACGGAGACACGGUCCUGACUCCUACGGUAGGCAGCAGUGGGGAAUAUUGGACAAUGGGCGAAAGCCUGAUCCAGCCAUGCCGCGUGUGUGAAGAAGGUCUUCGGAUUGUAAAGCACUUUAAGUUGGGAGGAAGGGCAGUAAGUUAAUACCUUGCUGUUUUGACGUUACCAACAGAAUAAGCACCGGCUAACUUCGUG
rnacentral:rRNA from 1 species